rnacentral:lncRNA from 1 species
UACAAACAUCAAAACCGUGUAGGUAGAAAAAAAAAUUGGUCUGGGAAGGGGACAUUGAAUUUAAAUGUAAAUUCAUUUACAGGAAAACAGAUUGACUCACAAGAUGCAAUUCUUUGGUAGAAACUGCCCUUUGGUGACAGACAGCCCAGGAAGAUAAAUUCAUACUUAAUAAAAAGGUUUUUUCUAAUCACGUUAGCUUUAAUAAGGGGUUAUAAUCUCCAGCAUAAUUCCCAUUCUACAAAUAAUGUUAAAUGAAGAAUCACAAGGCACAGAGGCACCUAGCAUUAGACCUCAUAUCUUAUGAUAUCAUUCACUGCUACUUGAAGGAUAUCUUAAGAGAAGGAUCUCAUUAGAUUCCUGACACUUCUUGGUUUCUAGAAUGCUGAGAUCUCAGAACAUUUUUUUU